AUGCGCUGUGAAACCUCGUCGACUACAGGAUCCUCUCUGGGGGCGACUCCAUCCACCGACAGCCCGACUUCCACCCCGGUCUUUGUACCGCGGACGCCCACCUCCUCCCCGCCAAGGACGCCUUCUAUCAAAAGAUUGAGGUCGCUGACGCGCAAUGGGCCGACUCAACUGCUGCAGCCAUCGCCGCCUCUUCUGGAUGGCUGCACCUCGACGCGCCCUUCUGGCUUGCCUCGCCUGGCCAGAACUCCUCCAGUCCCAAGCUCGCCAGCGGGGGACGCCUCUGCUCCUCAAAGCUCCCAGCAGGACUGCUCCGACCAACCAAAGCAGAGCACCCCCAUCUUCGUGCCUUGUCAGCAGGCCCUACUUCCAUCGCCAACGCGAAGAUCCACCCCGCCCAGGCCACCGACAAGAAGAAGGAAGACAUUGGCUGGUAUCUCCAGUUUCACAGUGGGACGCAGCAGCCCGCGGCUCCAAGCCAAGAACCGAUCGAUGCCUAUUGCAAAGCUAGCGGAGAUGCUACUCUGCCAAAGGCUGGGUAUCAUAGAGGAAGGUGAGAUGAUCACUGAGGAAGCCAUCAACAAGUAUGUCGCGUUGUUCAAUGGUAAACUGCCAGACAUUGCGGUGGCGGCUUUACGUGCUCUGUUCAAGCUUGACUGUGACCUGGCCACUGCUGUCGAAGACGCCCUAGUUGAGCAUGGUGGCGACACGGCCCCAAAUCUGCAGGCCAUGGAAGUGAGGAGGCCACGGCGACGGCAUGAUGAUGUUUUUGCACUGAUGAUAGAUGUAAUUGUUGGGGAACGUAGUAAGUUCAAAAAAAUUCCUACGCACAUGCAAGAUCAUGGUGAUGCAUAG
rnacentral:rRNA from 1 species